GUCCCUAUCGUCUAGAGUCCUAGGACAUCGCCCUUUCACGGCGGUAACCGGGGUUCGAAUCCCCGUAGGGACGCCA
rnacentral:tRNA from 1 species